GCCUCUUCUAUGUGUGGAUCAUCUCUCUUCCUUUCAGGGCUUCCAUCAAGGCUGCUAUCUUGGUCCUCAGGCUCUCUGGGAGGAUUCCUUACUUCCUGUGCAAGAGUUCCCAGGCCCUUCCAGCUUCCCUGA
rnacentral:lncRNA from 1 species